GCCCCGGUAAACGGCGGCCGUAACUAUAACGGUCCUAAGGUAGCGAAAUUCCUUGUCGGGUAAGUUCCGACCUGCACGAAUGGCGUAAUGAUGGCCAGGCUGUCUCCACCCGAGACUCAGUGAAAUUGAACUCGCUGUGAAGAUGCAGUGUACCCGCGGCAAGACGGAAAGACCCCGUGAACCUUUACUAUAGCUUGACACUGAACAUUGAGCCUUGAUGUGUAGGAUAGGUGGGAGGCUUUGAAGUGUGGACGCCAGUCUGCAUGGAGCCGACCUUGAAAUACCACCCUUUAAUGUUUGAUGUUCUAACGUUGGCCCGUAAUCCGGGUUGCGGACAGUGUCUGGUGGGUAGUUUGACUGGGGCGGUCUCCUCCUAAAGAGUAACGGAGGAGCACGAAGGUUGGCUAAUCCUGGUCGGACAUCAGGAGGUUAGUGCAAUGGCAUAAGCCAGCUUGACUGCGAGCGUGACGGCGCGAGCAGGUGCGAAAGCAGGUCAUAGUGAUCCGGUGGUUCUGAAUGGAAGGGCCAUCGCUCAACGGAUAAAAGGUACUCCGGGGAUAACAGGCUGAUACCGCCCAAGAGUUCAUAUCGACGGCGGUGUUUGGCACCUCGAUGUCGGCUCAUCACAUCCUGGGGCUGAAGUAGGUCCCAAGGGUAUGGCUGUUCGCCAUUUAAAGUGGUACGCGAGCUGGGUUUAGAACGUCGUGAGACAGUUCGGUCCCUAUCUGCCGUGGGCGCUGGAGAACUGAGGGGGGCUGCUCCUAGUACGAGAGGACCGG
rnacentral:rRNA from 1 species